GUAGGGUGCAAGCGUUAAUCGGAAUUACUGGGCGUAAAGCGUGCGCAGGCGGUUAUGCAAGACAGAUGUGAAAUCCCCGGGCUCAACCUGGGAACUGCAUUUGUGACUGUAUAGCUAGAGUACGGUAGAGGGGGAUGGAAUUCCGCGUGUAGCAGUGAAAUGCGUAGAUAUGCGGAGGAACACCGAUGGCGAAGGCAAUCCCCUGGACCUGUACUGACGCUCAUGCACGAAAGCGUGGGGAGCAAACAGGAUUAGAUACCCUGGUAGUCCACGCCCUAAACGAUGUCAACUGGUUGUUGGACGGCUUGCUGUUCAGUAACGAAGCUAACGCGUGAAGUUGACCGCCUGGGGAGUACGGCCGCAAGGUUG
rnacentral:rRNA from 1 species